AAUGAACGCUGGCGGCAUGCCUUACACAUGCAAGUCGAACGGCAGCAUGACCUAGCUUGCUAGGUUGAUGGCGAGUGGCGAACGGGUGAGUAAUGCAUCGGAACGUGCCUUUUAGUGGGGGAUAACGUAGCGAAAGUGACGCUAAUACCGCAUAUUCUCUGAGGAGGAAAGCAGGGGACCUUCGGGCCUUGCGCUAGAAGAGCGGCCGAUGUCGGAUUAGCUAGUUGGUGAGGUAACGGCUCACCAAGGCAACGAUCCGUAGCGGGUCUGAGAGGAUGAUCCGCCACACUGGGACUGAGACACGGCCCAGACUCCUACGGGAGGCAGCAGUGGGGAAUUUUGGACAAUGGGCGCAAGCCUGAUCCAGCCAUGCCGCGUGAGUGAAGAAGGCCUUCGGGUUGUAAAGCUCUUUCGGCGGGGAAGAAAUCGCACCCUCUAAUACAGGGUGUGGUUGACGUUACCAGCAGAAGAAGCACCGGCUAACUACGUG
rnacentral:rRNA from 1 species